GAAGCCCGCCAGACCGCCGCUGGUGCAUGUGCCGAAAGGCCGCACUGGAGGAACGUCCGGACUGCACAGGGCAGCGUAGCAGCUAACGGCUGUCCACCGCGAGGUGAGGAUCAGAGCAACAGAGACGAGUCGGGGCACGGCCCGCCGCCGAAGGUGUUCUAUGGGGUGUCAGCGCAAGCUGGCGCUGGCUGGCGUUUGAGCCAGCCAGUUCACGGCGCAAGCCGGGAAACCCCAUAGCCACCCGAAGCGCGGACGCGCUCCGGGUGAAACGGGCAGUCUCUACGCGCAGCAACACCAAGUAGGCACACGUUGACGGGGCCCCCGGAGUGUGCGGGUAGGUGGCAUCGAGCCGGGUGGGCGACCCCCGGCCCAGAGUAAUGGCGGUCACAUCCGCGCGGCCCGCCAAGGGGUGCGCGGAUGCACAGAAUCCGGCUUAUCGGCGGGCUUCACAA
rnacentral:RNase_P_RNA from 1 species